UACGGGGGGGGCAAGCGUUGUUCGGAAUUACUGGGCGUAAAGGGCGCGUAGGCGGUGCUCUAAGUUAGAUGUGAAAACUCUGGGCUCAACCCAGAGCCUGCAUCUAAAACUGGAGUGCUAGAGUUCUGGAGGGGGUAGCGGAAUUCCUGGUGUAGCGGUGAAAUGCGUAGAUAUCGGAAGGAACAUCAGUGGCGAAAGCGACUUCCUGGACCAAUACUGACGCUCAUGUGCGAAAGCGUGGGGAGCAAACAGG
rnacentral:rRNA from 1 species